GACAGAGGUCUCGAGCGUUGUUCGGAUUCAUUGGGCGUAAAGGGCGCGUAGGCGGCGGGGUAAGUCUGGUGUGAAAUCUCGGAGCUCAACUCCGAAAUUGCACUGGAUACUGCUCUGCUAGAGGGCUGGAGAGGAGAUCGGAAUUCACGGUGUAGCAGUGAAAUGCGUAGAUAUCGUGAGGAAGACCAGUGGCGAAGGCGGAUCUCUGGACAGCUCCUGACGCUGAGGCGCGAAGGCUAGGGGAGCAAACGGG
rnacentral:rRNA from 1 species